CGGAUAUGGAAAAGUGAAUAUUAAGUCUAAUUCUCGCCGAUCCGACAAAGGUAGAGCAUGUUCAGUUGUUCAAGCUUGUAAUAAUAAUAAUAUCAUGAAGCCACAACAUGAAAGCCACGAGCACGUCCAGAAAAAGCUCAGAUAUGCUAACAAGGUCGACUUGUAAUGUCUAUAGACAAAAAAAGUUCACAGACUCCAAAUGGGAUGAGAAGUGAAUCUACCACCCCAA
rnacentral:lncRNA from 1 species